rnacentral:sRNA from 1 species
AAUGAAACUACAUUGAAAGCGAUUACAAAAAAGAGAGGAUGGAUGCAAAAUGGGAACUAUCGUAUGCCAAGACUGUCAAAGGGUAAUUGAACAUUUCGAGAAUGAAAAGGUUUCGACGCUUUACAGUACUUGCCCGACUUGCAAUACUAAAUAACUAUUUUACGGAAGAAGCUGCCGAUUUCGGUGGCUUCUUUCAU